UUUUUUUAUUAGUUUGGCCUGAAGGGUGGUGGGUCAUUUUAAAAAUAUUCUUCACAGGUGCCACAUAUAUAUAAUAAAUAUAAUAAAUAAAAAUGAUGGCUAUUAAAUAAAAUAAAAAUAAUCCGAAGAUCACCACAACAUUCUGGGACCUGGGCCGCCUGCCUGCUGCCGAAAAGUCUGACUGACUGACCAACAUCAUCGAGAAGGGUCGGUGUCUUCCAUCAAAACAAAUUGAUUGAGAAGAUGCACAAAACAGAUAGAUGAUGUUGAUGCAGCGUCCUGGUUUCCUCGUAUAUUAUUUUAUUUGUUCUAUCUAUCAUGAACAUACAUCCAAUUGCGAUUCGGAGUGCAACUUAAGUAAUUCCGAAGAUCAUUUUAAUGGCAUCUGUGACCACCGUCGGUCGACGUCGUAAGAUGGGAAGGAUAGAUAUGGAUGUCUGUAGUAAGUUAAUAAUAAUGCCGAAGGGGGUUGAUGCCAACGUCCUAAUUUCCUCUAUCUAUCAUCAACAUCCAGUGCAUUUUUUUGGAAUGUCAAAAUAUAAAAAAUAUCAAUCAAUCAAUCAAGUAUGUAAUUUUUAAUCAAUAGACACUCAUCCAGUUGCAGAUUCCAUUGGGAGUGCAUUAUUUUGGAAUGUCAAUAAUAUGAGUGCUUUUUAAAAAAUGAUUUACACCCAACAUCAUUCUUUGUAACACCCAAAAAUAAUUGGUCCUACCUACACCUUUACUCACUCAAUAGACUCAGAAAAUCACUUACUGAUUUCUGUCCGACCGUCUGUGUGGUCAUGUGAUGUUGUUGUACUUGAUAAAGAUAGCGGCCGGCAGUGAUAGAUAUAUAUAUAUAAAUUCUAUUAGAAAAGAUUUAAAAAAUGUUGGUUUUCAUAUUUGCAAUUUACAUAAAUUAAACUUUCUUAAGAAAUAAAAUUCUUAUUUAUAAAAUUCAUGAUUUAAAGUUGUAUAGUUGACAGAUUUUCUUUCCAGUUUUUUAAAUCACUUCAUUUAUGACAAAUAAUUUAACAUUUUGGAAGGCAUUUAGCAUAGCUUUAAUUGAACUAUUAUUAAAAAGUCAUGAAAAUGACGUUCGCUUUGAACCACUUCCAUUUUUUUUUGCUGGGUAAUAAUAGGACAGAUAUCCCCUCUCACCAUCAUAUUAUUCAUUAAUUUUAAUUAUUAUUUUUCUCUACAUCUUGUUAAUUUUAUUUAGGCUAGCUUUUUAUAAUAAUAUAUAAAUAAAAUUAUUAAUUAAUA